ACAGGCCUCCCCUGGGCCGGCGGAGCCGCUCUCACCUUCCACACUUCGCCGCCCUCCUGCGCUCAGGCAGCAUUCUGGACACGGGUUGUGAACCAAGAGUACAUCACACUCCCCUACCACACUCCCUCCAUCCUGCCUUCUGCUCCUACCACAUCAUCUGAAAAUUUUGGGGGUCUGUGGACCAGAAGAUGGAUCUCAUAUUUCCAGUUGUCUGUCGCUUUUGUUGAAGUUACCUAUCAAACAUAUACAACUGGUUUAGUAGGAAAACCAUAUUAAAUAAUAUGCAGUACAUCUACUAUGAGAAUGAAUUGCUGAAUGAUGUUGUAAGAAUAAUAAGAAGUGCCUCUACCUAAGUAAAACUACAAAGCAACGUUUUAAGAAUGGUAACAACCCGGGACUAACCAUACUCUUGUCGUUGCUCCGUCACAGACAAGAACUUAAUCAGGAAUGUUGUAG
rnacentral:lncRNA from 1 species